GUGUGGGGACCAAGGGGGUGGAGCCUGUGUUCCCAGAUCCCACUGGGAAUAUAUGAUCAAAUCGUUCUAACAGUUGCUGAGGCCUGCCAUGGGCAAGCCAAGUUCAGGUUGACACAGUCUUCCACUUGGAGAAACAGAGUCCAGCAAUGACUCCUCAGGACGUGUUCACCUGUCUGGACAGCACAGGCCAGGACGUGGAAUGUAGGGGGAAUGCCGGUUGUGGGUGAGAUUCUAGAAGUGUGGCCAAGUCUGACUUCAUGAUGAGAAAAGAUCCCAGCAGGUGCCCUCUGGAGCUCUCUGGCUGCCCUCUUGCCACCACUGAUGCUGGAGCUUGCUGCUGCUAACGGCCGACUCUACUGCUGCAGCUGCUCCUGUCAUGACACCACUCAUGUUACCAGUGCAUCCAGUCUGCCGUGAUGAAGACCACAGGGAUGAAGGUCAAUGUCACAGCAGCGGCCACUCUGAUGCUGUCUUCAUGCCGAGACCCUGAUAUUCAAUGUGAAGUCUGCAUUGAUGAAAUUUUCAUUACAGAAGCAUCUUCCCUUUCAUGGCCUCUCAGAGGGAGCUUCCACCUUCUGCCUGCCAUGGAGAGGAGCUGCUUGGCUGCAGGACACAAAAGAAGCUCAGUCUACCACCCACUUCACAUCCACCAGGCUGCCUGUGUGUUUGAGCAGACCCCACCCACUUCUGAACCUCACAAGCAGCAUAAGGCAGAUUGACCAGAUGGACAUUUAGACACAGUGACGGUGGGCUGAACCAGGCUAAAGGAGGGUGCUGUGUUGCAAGCCGGUUGUGUUUAACAAAUGCUUUUCCAAAUGUGGGAGUGGAGUCUGUGUCUCAUGUGUAAAUACCUGUCAGAUUUUCUCAACUGUCCUAUGGGACAGGUGACCCCAUCAUUACUACUUUACAGAUGAAGUAAACACUGCCCAAGAUAUGCUGUGCUAGAUAACAUAUUAAGUGCUGCCUGCUAAGUGGUAAUAAAGGCAGGAUUUGGACUCAGGACUCCUGAGUCCCUCAUGUAAAUCUUGGCACCUAGCUUUUAUUAGAAGCGGUUAAGAAGAAUCUGUCCAUAUAUGUCUUCAUAUCAAGC